rnacentral:sRNA from 1 species
UAGUUUCUGGUAACAUGUAAUAUAACAU